GAAGAUUAGACAGAGAAUCUCUCACAUGAUUUUACCCUCUUCAUCCUGGACACUGGAAUCACAGGAAUUUCUGAGCUUUCUGAUACACAUUUGUAUGUCAGAAUAAUCACAUCCUUUUAGUAAACUGAACUAAACUUUAGUUAACUGAAGAAUCUACACAACUAGUCCAAGCAUAGAUGCAGAUGCGUAGAUUUAUAGGAGAUCAAUGCCACGAGCCUCAGUUUUAUGGCUCUCCCAUUUAGCAACAUGGGAGGAGAAAAAGUGCAGGUCAGAAGUGCUAAUUGUUACCUUCAACAAAGGUAAAAAACAGACCAAAACAACAAGAAUAGCAGGUUUCAAAAAUGGGACUUAGGAAUGAAAAGCAAAAUAAAAAUAAAAUUUAAAAAAAAAAUGAGUGCACUUUGCACUUUCUUAACCAAAAGCUGAAAUGAAGGAAUGUUAGAGGAAAGGAGAUGUAACAAGUGUGAGGAAUCAAAGCAUCUGCACUUAGGAGAAAACAGAGCUACUCCUUGGACAUGAUCCGAGGGCACAGUGUAAUUAACAGGUACUCCCAAGGUGUCUGUCUUCAAAAGGUGCCAAGGUUUCUUGAUAAGUUAUCUCAGGAGCCAACACAACAGGUGACAGAAGGGCUGUUGCUUUCAAGGACACCCCUUCAGGUCACACCAUUCAGAUGAGCUGAGCAAGCUCGAUAGUUAUUGGAUUGAGGCAGAGCCUCGUGCUAAUAAAGCUGCAAUAUGCCCAAAAAGAAGAUGUCUGCUUGAGCAUUGCUUAUCCUGAAGAACAGAAGCACAGGGUGAGAUUACACAGAAUUAAGAUCACGAGAGGAGGCAAUGCUAUCAAUAAUAAGAAAUGGUAAUUUCAUAAUUUCAGAAGUCAUUUCAUUUUCUUCCAUUCCUGCAAGUCACGUCAGAAGCUUUAAACCAACUGUGCCUCUCUUUAUCAAGCCCUCUUGUGAAGCAAGGAUGGGAAACUACCAGAAUCCUCACAAGCAAAUGACAUAGGAAAGGAAUUCUCUCCAUAGUGCCAAUUGCAACAAGAAGAUGGCUUGGACUCCCAAAUUCACUGAAUAGCUCCAGAAAACCACCAGUAACUGGGUAACACACUACAUGCAACAAGCCCCAGCAUCUGGAAUGGAAAGCUUCAAUACCUGCACAUCUGAGAGAGCAACCACUGCUGAAGAAGAGCCUCCUACAGCACUCAACUUGUACAUGUUGUGAUGAAACAGAGAUGUCUGUUACACAGCAGUGGAGCCUCCCAUGAAGCUGCAUCCGUUCAAGCUGGACUGUUU